UACGUAGGGUGCGAGCGUUGUCCGGAAUUAUUGGGCGUAAAGAGCUCGUAGGCGGUCUGUCGCGUCUGCUGUGAAAUCCCGAGGCUCAACCUCGGGCUUGCAGUGGGUACGGGCAGGCUAGAGUGCGGUAGGGGAGAAUGGAACUCCUGGUGUAGCGGUGGAAUGCGCAGAUAUCAGGAAGAACACCGAUGGCGAAGGCGGUUCUCUGGGCAUUACCUGACGCUGAGGAGCGAAAGUGUGGGGAGCGAACAGG
rnacentral:rRNA from 1 species